rnacentral:rRNA from 1 species
GACGAACGCUGGCGGCAUGCCUAAUACAUGCAAGUCGAGCGAACAGAUGAAGUGCUUGCACUUCUGACGUUAGCGGCGAACGGGUGAGUAACACGUAAGGAAUCUACCUAUAAGCGGGGGAUAACUUUCGGAAACGGGUGCUAAUACCGCAUAAUAUCUUCUUCCGCAUGGAAGAAGAUUGAAAGACGGCUCUGCUGUCACUUAUAGAUGACCUUGCGGUGCAUUAGUUAGUUGGUGGGGUAACGGCCUACCAAGACGAUGAUGCAUAGCCGACCGGAGAGGGUGAUCGGCCACAUUGGGACUGAGACACGGCCCAAACUCCUACGGGAGGCAGCAGUAGGGAAUCUUCCGCAAUGGGCGAAAGCCUGACGGAGCAAUGCCGCGUGAGUGAAGAAGGCCUUCGGGUCGUAAAACUCUGUUAUAAGAGAAGAACAAAUUGUAGAGUAACUGCUACAGUCUUGACGGUAUCUUAUCAGAAAGCCACAGCUAACUACGUGCCAGCCGCCGCCGUAA